UACGUAGGGCGCAAGCGUUGUCCGGAAUUAUUGGGCGUAAAGAGCUCGUAGGCGGCCUGUUACGUCUGCUGUGAAAUCCCGGGGCUUAACCCCGGGCGUGCAGUGGAUACGGGCAGGCUGGAGGCAGGCAGGGGAGAACGGAAUUCUCGGUGUAGCGGUGAAAUGCGCAGAUAUCGGGAGGAACACCGGUGGCGAAGGCGGUUCUCUGGGCCUGUACUGACGCUGAGGAGCGAAAGCGUGGGGAGCGAACAGG
rnacentral:rRNA from 1 species